rnacentral:rRNA from 1 species
UAGGGAAUCUUCGGCAAUGGACGAAAGUCUGACCGAGCAACGCCGCGUGAGUGAAGAAGGUUUUCGGAUCGUAAAACUCUGUUGUUAGAGAAGAACAAGGACGUUAGUAACUGAACGUCCCCUGACGGUAUCUAACCAGAAAGCCACGGCUAACUACGUGCCAGCAGCCGCGGUAAUACGUAGGUGGCAAGCGUUGUCCGGAUUUAUUGGUCAUAAAGCGAGCGCAGGCGGUUUCUUAAGUCUGAUGUGAAAGCCCCCGGCUCAACCGGGGAGGGUCAUUGGAAACUGGGAGACUUGAGUGCAGAAGAGGAGAGUGGAAUUCCAUGUGUAGCGGUGAAAUGCGUAGAUAUAUGGAGGAACACCAGUGGCGAAGGCGGCUCUCUGGUCUGUAACUGACGCUGAGGCUCGAAAGCGUGGGGAGCAAACAGG